GACAGAGGGUGCAACGUUGUUCGGAAUUACUGGGCGUAAAGCGCGUGUAGGCGGCUAAGUAAGUCGGGCGUGAAAUCCCACGGCUCAACCGUGGAAGUGCACUCGAAACUGCAUAGCUAGAGUCCUGGAGAGGAAGGUGGAAUGCUUGGUGUAGAGGUGAAAUUCGUAGAUAUCAAGCGGAACACCGGUGGCGAAGGCGGCUCACUGGCUCGUAACUGACGCUCAUGCACGACAGCGUGGGGAUCAAACAGG
rnacentral:rRNA from 1 species